rnacentral:rRNA from 1 species
CCCUUAGAUGUCCUGGGCUGCACGCGCGCUACACUGACGCAAUCAACGAGUUCCACGCCUGACUUGAAAAGGCUGGGCAAUCUGACGAAAUUGCGCCGUGAUGGGGAUAGAUCGUUGUAAUUGUUGAUCUUCAACGAGGAAUUCCUAGUAAGCACGCAUCAUCAGUUCGUGCUGAUUACGUCCCUGCCCUUUGUACACACCGCCCGUCGCUCCUACCGAUUGAGUGAUCCGGUAAAUAAUAGACACAAUUCUUGCGUCUUGUUGUGGGAAGUUCUGUGAACCUUAUCUCUUAGAGGAAGGAGAAGUCGUANCA